GGGCCCGCACAAGCGGUGGAGCAUGUGGUUUAAUUCGAUGAUACGCGAGGAACCUUACCAGGGCUUAAAUGGGAGAUGACAGGGGCAGAGACGCCCUUUUCUUCGGACAUCUUUCAAGGUGCUGCAUGGUUGUCGUCAGCUCGUGCCGUGAGGUGUCAGGUUAAGUCCUAUAACGAGCGCAACCCCUACCGUUAGUUGCCAGCGAUUCAAGUCGGGGACUCUAACGGGACUGCCGGUGAUAAGCCGGAGGAAGGUGGGGAUGACGUCAAGUCCUCAUGGCCCUUACAGGCUGGGCUACACACGUGCUACAAUGGCGAUGACAGUGGGCAGCGACCCCGCAAGGGUGAGCUAA
rnacentral:rRNA from 1 species